AAACCAAUAGGCUUGCCUAUUGGGGUUGUAGGACACUCAAUACGGAGUUACAAAGGAAAUGAUUAGACGAAUGGUUUUGGAAAAGCCAACCAUAGAAGGUAAAGGUCCUGUAGUCGAAAGUCAUUUCUCUCCUGAGUGGAUCCUGAGUACGGCGGAACACGUGAAAUUCCGUCGGAAUCUGGGAGGACCAUCUCCCAAGGCUAAAUACUCUCUAGUGACCGAUAGUGAACCAGUACCGUGAGGGAAAGGUGAAAAGCACCCCGGAAGGGGAGUGAAAUAGAACCUGAAACCGUGUGCCUACAAGAAGUUAGAGCCCGUUAAUGGGUGAUAGCGUGCCUUUUGCAGAAUGAACCGGCGAGUUACGAUUGCAUGCGAGGUUAAGCUGAAGAAGCGGAGCCGUAGCGAAAGCGAGUCUGAAUAGGGCGAGUGAGUAUGUAGUCGUAGACCCGAAACCAUGUGACCUACCCAUGUCCAGGUUGAAGGUGCGGUAAAACGCACUGGAGGACCGAACCCACGUACGUUGAAAAGUGCGGGGAUGAGGUGUGGGUAGCGGAGAAAUUCCAAACGAACUUGGAGAUAGCUGGUUCUCUCCGAAAUAGCUUUAGGGCUAGCCUCGGAAUUAAGAAUGAUGGAGGUAGAGCACUGUUUGGACUAGGGGCCCGUCUUGGGUUACCGAAUUCAGAUAAACUCCGAAUGCCAUUCAUUUAUGUCCGGGAGUCAGACAGUGAGUGAUAAGAUCCAUUGUCGAAAGGGAAACAGCCCAGACCACCAGCUAAGGUCCCCAAAUAUAUGUUAAGUGGAAAAGGAUGUGAGGGUGCACAAACAACUAGGAUGUUGGCUUAGAA
rnacentral:rRNA from 1 species